rnacentral:rRNA from 1 species
UAUUGGUCAAUAGCCUAACAGGCUGAACCAGCAACUUGGAGGAAUGUAUGGGGAAAACUGGUAAAAUGUGAUGUACCUGGUAGUAUUAGAGGUUAAUACGAUAUUAACAAAGUUAAUUAAAAUUCUAUGUAGAUAUUGAUUAUGACAAUAUUUGCUUAUUUCUUGACCAAGUCACGUGCCAGCAGUCGCGGCAAUACGUGGUAGAUUAGUGUUAUUCAUCUUUAAUAGGUUUAAAGGGUACCUAGACGGUUAAUUAGACAUAAAAGUGUACUAUUAUUAACUAGAGUUUAAUGUAAGAAGGAUUGAGUACGGUGAGUGUAGAGAUAAAAUUCUGUCAUACCACUUAAGGAACUGGUAAAGGCGAAGGCAACCUUUUAUGUAAAAACUGACGUUGAAGGACGAAGGA